CCCUUAGAGUUUGAUCCUGGCUCAGAACGAACGUUGGCGGCGUGGAUUAGGCAUGCAAGUCGCACGAAUCCCCCGCAAGGGGGGGAAGUGGCGUAAGGGGCAGUAGGGCGUGGGUACCCGCCCGGGGGUCGGGGAUAGCCCGUCGAGAGACGGGGUAAUACCCGGCGAUGUCGCAAGACCAAAGCUCCGGCGCCCCCGGAGGGGCCCACGUGGUAUUAGCUGGUUGGUGGGGUGACGGCCCACCAAGGCGGAGAUGCCUAGCGGGUGUGAGAGCACGACCCGCGCCACUGGCACUGAGACACUGGCCAGACACCUACGGGUGGCUGCAGUCGAGGAUCUUCGGCAAUGGGGGCAACCCUGACCGAGCGACGCCGCGUGCGCGACGAAGGCCUUCGGGUUGUAAAGCGCUGUCGAGGGGGAGAAAAGCCCGCAAGGGUGUGAUCCAUCCCUGGAGGAAGCACGGGCUAAGUUCGUGCCAGCAGCCGCGGUAAGACGAACCGUGCGAACGUUGUUCGGAAUCACUGGGCUUAAAGGGCGC
rnacentral:rRNA from 1 species